UACGAAGGGUGCAAGCGUUAAUCGGAAUUACUGGGCGUAAAGCGCGCGUAGGCGGUUCAGUAAGUUGGAAGUGAAAUCCCCGGGCUCAACCUGGGAACUGCGUUCAAAACUGCUGAGCUAGAGUACGGUAGAGGGUGGUGGAAUUUCCUGUGUAGCGGUGAAAUGCGUAGAUAUAGGAAGGAACACCAGUGGCGAAGGCGACCACCUGGACUGAUACUGACACUGAGGUGCGAAAGCGUGGGGAGCAAACAGG
rnacentral:rRNA from 1 species